GUCAGUUUUCCCCUCUUACAUAAAAAGAAAAUUAUAUUCGUUAUUAAUUAUAAUAUAACAUGCAUGUACUGGGUGUGAAAUAUGUUGGUAGUAAUAUUCAUCAAAUGCAAGAGUUGUGUAAUAAUCAUCUAAUAACAAAUAUGGUAGUGGUGUUAAAUAUUUGAUAGUGAGAGUAGUAAUAGUAUUUCUUCUUUUUUUUUUUCAAGUAAGAUGGGAAACUGCCAUUAAUUCAGCCGUAAUUAUCAAUGCAGAGUAAAAAGUAAAGCAUGUAUUAGAACUAUGAAGUAAAUAUAAUGACAAUACUACUACUACUACUACAAAAUUCGAGAUCAAUGUAGUUUCAAGUCAACAGAAAUACUCAACGCCUUUCCCUCUCUCAGGCAAAGAAAAACAAAACCUGCAGUAUACAAUUCAUAAACUUUUAUUUGAACACCCCUCCAUCCCCAUCCCCUACCCCUCCACCAUCACCUGUCAGGGGGGAGGAGGAGGGGGAGGGAGGUGAGGGGGGAAGGACCCGACACAAGGACCAAUCAGAAGACAGAAUGAUAAAGAUACAAUAGACAAUACAAACCCAUCACAAAAUCAUCAUAAAGAAAAAAGAAAAAGAAAAAUAGAAAUAGUGAAGAGAUGACAAUAAUAAUAAUGAUGAUAAUGAUAAUAAUAAAAAAAAAAAAUAAUAAUAUGAUCUUGACCUAAGAUGACCUCUGUUACGGAAGCUGAGGUCACAUGGGAGAGUAAGGUCAUUUAGAUUUCGGGUUAGAUUAUGUGUGUGUGUGUGUGUGUGUGUGUGUGUGUGUGUGUGUGUGUGUGUGUGUAUGUGUGUGUGUGUGUGUGUGUGUGUGUGUGUGUGU